GACGAACGCUGGCGGUGUGCUUAACACAUGCAAGUCGAACGGAAAGGCCCUGCUUUUGUGGGGUGCUCGAGUGGCGAACGGGUGAGUAACACGUGAGUAACCUGCCCUUGACUUUGGGAUAACUUCAGGAAACUGGGGCUAAUACCGGAUAGGAGCUCCUGCUGCAUGGUGGGGGUUGGAAAGUUUCGGCGGUUGGGGAUGGACUCGCGGCUUAUCAGCUUGUUGGUGGGGUAGUGGCUUACCAAGGCUUUGACGGGUAGCCGGCCUGAGAGGGUGACCGGCCACAUUGGGACUGAGAUACGGCCCAGACUCCUACGGGGGGCAGCGGUGGGGAAUAUUGCACAAUGGGCGGGAGCCUGAGACAGCAACGCCGCGUGCGGGAUGACGGCCUUCGGGUUGUAAACCGCUUUCGCCUGUGACGAAGCGUGAGUGACGGUAAUGGGUAAAGAAGCACCGGCUAACUACGUG
rnacentral:rRNA from 1 species